rnacentral:rRNA from 1 species
GAUGAACGCUGGCGGCGUGCCUAAUACAUGCAAGUCGAGCGAACAGACGAGGAGCUUGCUCCUCUGACGUUAGCGGCGGACGGGUGGGUAACACGUGGAUAACCUACCUAUAAGACUGGGAUAACUUCGGGAAACCGGAGCUAAUACCGGAUAAUAUAUUGAACCGCAUGGUUCAAUAGUGAAAGACGGUUUUGCUGUCCCUUAUAGAUGGAUCCGCGCCGCAUUAGCUAUUUGGUAAGGUAACGGCUUACCAAGGCGACGAUGCGUAGCCGACCUGAGAGGGUGAUCGGCCACACUGGAACUGAGACACGGUCCAGACUCCUACGGGAGGCAGCAGUAGGGAAUCUUCCGCAAUGGGCGAAAGCCUGACGGAGCAACGCCGCGUGAGUGAUGAAGGUCUUCGGAUCGUAAAACUCUGUUAUUAGGGAAGAACAAAUGUGUAAGUAACUAUGCACGUCUUGACGGUACCUAAUCAGAAAGCCACGGCUAACUACGUG